rnacentral:lncRNA from 10 species
GCUCUGUGGCCGCUCCAUGGGCACCUAUAAUUUAAGUUGUGCUGCUGUUCCUCUGUCACUCCAGAAAACUUGACCAGCUGAAAGAGCCUUUGCAAAAUUAUGACUGAGACAGUGAAAGAGAUCUAAUCUAACUGACUCUGUCUUUGUUCUAAACUUUAAGCUGUCCUUGUUCCUUCCUGGGCAUAGGCUGGACUAACUUUAGGAGGAUCUCAGUUUAUAGAGUUUAUAGUGUAUGGUUUGAAACAAAUGUAAUAGUAGCCCUUUCCCAAAACAAACCUCCUUCUUUCCUGGGGACUAGACUACCUUUGUAGGACUAACAAAUUAGCCACAAGAUUAGACAAUAUGGUUUAGGAGUCAUGCAGCUGGAAGCUACAAGAUUCUGACCCUCCCUAGACUGCUCCUUAGAUCAGUGCUUGAGAUAUUUGUAGACCCAGCACUUUUGUAUCAGCUGUUGGAUCAGCUGUCACCACCCAGAUGGAUAAACUGGCUCAUCUGAUCUUGUGGCCCCCACCCAGGAAUGGACUCAGCACAAGAGGACAACUUCUACUUCCCAUGAUUUCAUCUCCUGUCUCACUGGCUUCCCCCCACGCACCAACUUGUCCUUAAAACCUCUGAUUCUCAAAUGCUGGGGGAGACUGAUUUGAGUAAUAAUAAAAUUCCUGUCUCCAGCACAGAGGCUCUAUGUGAAUUACUUUUUCUCUACUGUAAUUCCCCUGUCUUGAUAAAUUGGCUCUGUCUAGGUAGUGGGCAAGGUGAACCCACUGGGUGGUUACAAAGUUGGGUGCUCAUCUGGGAUUGCCCUUGAAGCUACCUGCCCAUGGUUCAGUAGAUCCCCUCCAGCGAUGGUUCCAGAGACCAGCCCAAGCACCUGCCUAGUUCUCUUAGACCGGCAGCUGACUCUGGUACUCUCUACUGGUGGGGUGCUACCAACUCAAUGUGCAUGGAUUUAAUUGCAAUAGAGAAAUAGUCCUGAGGAGACAUCCCUUUACUGUAGCCCUAUCACAGGGUGUCUUUCUGUAGCCCCAUGAUGGAGUAUCUGUCUGUAGCCCCACUGCAGGUUGUCUGGAGUGGUGAGUAUCCUAGGCAUUGCCAACACCUGCUUCCUUCUCCAGACUGGUUCUGUAGCCCCACAGUGGGGUAUGUCAGUAGCCCCACUGUGGUGUGUCUGUUUGUAACUCUACCACGGGGUGUCUCUGUUCGGCUCCUUUUAGGGUUCUGUUUGUCUGUAGCUCCAUUGAAGGUUUGUCUGUAGCCCCAUGGAGGGGUGCCUGUUUCAGUUCAGCUCCUUGCGGGUCUCAGUUGGUUCUCCCUAACCAGUAGGAAGAGUCUUGGUUCAGGACGACUCUCAAUCAGGAAGAUGUAGGGGAGAUAUCUCAGGUGGAGAAUAGGAGCAUAGUUUGGAAGGGAUAUUCUUGGAAUUCUUGGUUAAGGAUCUGGGUUGGAAAUCCUUCUGUCCAUCUUGUCUUUGUGUGUGUUCGUAUAUGUGGAGGGGAUCCCUGAAGAAAUUGCUAAUGGAAGUCCAGCAGCCCUAACUCAGAGAACCCUCUUUACGUGUCUGUUCACAUUCGAUGAGCCCUGAAGAUAACUCAACAGACCUGCCUGGGAAAAGAGUGAUUUUCAUUGUAAAGUGGCUUGAACCCCACAGCUAUGGCACAGUGAACAGGGUCAUCAAAAGCUACUCCAUUAUUCCAGAAGCUGGAGAGGAAGGGAACCUGGAAACCUGGUAUGCUGGCAAAUAGGUAGAUUCAAUUAUUCUUCUCCAUUUUGUCUUCUUGACAUUCUUGAUGCCCACAAGAGAAAACUUAAGAUAAAUUCUAACAGUCUGGGACUCCUUGGGAAGAACAGAGGAACCACAGACUCCAUUGUGGGAAAAAACUUGGUUUUCCUCACUGAAGCCUGGAAAUUGAAACAGCAAUUGAAAUAGAUCCCUCUCAAAAUCUAAGGCUCUGUUCUGCUUUGCAUUGUGUUAUCUGAUGGUUUUGAAUUUUGGGGGUAUCAAAAAUUACUUUGCAUUAAGGGAGAGCUUUUAGCCUUGUUGUAUAAUAUCUAGGUAAAAAUAUAUACUUCAAGAAAUGGCUAAUGUCAGUUAUGAAGAGAUACUUAGCUCUUUGUAUGCUUGAAUCAGAGAAGCAUGCUGUUGGCCACAUGGAAGAUACAGAAACAUCCCCAACCACCACUGAGGGAAGAUGAGACUCCCAUGGGGGAUAGGUGAUUAUAAUAUGGGCUGAUUGGCUUUGGAUAGCCUUGCAAUAAAGUGCCUAGUGGAAGCACUGUACUGUCUUCUCCCAUAAUAUUUCCCUCCUUUUGGGGAUCCAGGAUCCAGUAUAAAAUGGCACCCUUAAUUUGGGGGAUCAGUUUUGGCCUUCCAGCUGUGCCUCCUUAUUAGGCCCCAGAAACUGGAUGCUUUCCUGGCCUUACUCUUCCAAAGGCUCCACCCUGAAGCCAGUAAUUCAGUUCAGAAACAGGCAAAUGAAAGGCUUACAAGUGCUGAAUCUUCUGUCUGUCUUUACAUGUAUUGUGUGUGUAAUGUUUAUAUAAAAAGAGUUCUGAUUCAUUGGCUCAGAAAAAUAAGUGCUUAAAUCAAAUAUUUUAUCCAAAAAAUAAAAACUUUAAUGUAUUUUGUUCAUCUGACUUAAGUAAUUUUCUGAAAAUAAAGACAGUUUAAAAAUUGUUGGUAAAAUAAAUAUAUCUUCAAAAUUUAGACAUUUUGUCUAAAUUAAGGUGAGAUAUUAGAUUUGCUAAAUGUUUUAAGGUAACAAACUGCUUCUUUAACUUUUAAAAAUUGUUCAAUUUAUCAACUUUGGAGCAUUAGAUUCUGGAUAAGGCCUGAGGAUAUGUGAGGCUUGCCAGGCCCCAUAGCUAUGCUGAAGAGAGUCAGACUUUAUCUGCACUUCUGUCUGAUAUCCUAGGUUCCACAUGAAGUACAUAAGUAAAAUCACUUACUUAUCAGGUUUUCACCAAAAAUAAAAUUUGCUAAGAGUUAACAUUGCGACAUAUAAUUGAGACUACUGGAGAAACAGUUUUACAUACAAGGUGUGUAAGGAAAGUGUAACAUGUUUUUGGUAAAAGAUUAUAGGAAGGCAUGGAAAUAUGUCUUGUGUUAAAGGGAAUGUAAUUUUGUGUAGUUCAGAGGGUUUUAAUGAUUGUCUUAACCUAAAAGAGUACCAGGACAAAACAAGGUUUAAGCAAGGUGAAAGAGGUUUAUGAAGGGUUAGUCUUGUAAAGAAAGGGUUAGUCUUGUAAAGUCUGUGGAUAUGAACAAGUUGGCUAAGAUUUAAAGGGGAUUAUUUAAUUAUUUUCCAUAGGUUGAACAUUAAAAUAAAUGCACACUAUGCAGGGCCAGAAUCUGGUCUGGGUUCAUCUGUGCAAGUAACAGCGUUUUCUUAGAAAAUUGAUGUGCUGUUUGACAGAAAAUUAUAAAGGGUUCUAAACAGUUUAUUAAAAUCUUACCUUAUUGUCAAAUUAAUUAAAACUGGAUAGAUAUAUAAAACUUUAUUCAAGAACUAUCAUUAGCAUUAAAGAUGCACUCAUACAAACAUAAAAUUUGAUACCCUCUUUUGAAAAAUAUUUUUAUAUAAUAUUAAAAGAUAAUGAAAGGGUUUUGUUUGCCUCUUGUGUAAAUAGCAGUAAAAAAAAGGGGAGGAGAGAGAAGAGACAGAUUCAUUUGGCCUCAUGCUAUCUUCACUGGGUCUUGUUGUUUGAAAAGCUAAGUCUCCUUUAUCAAUGUAAAGGUUUUUCUUUUUUUGGAGUUAUCAUUCUGGCCAAAUAAAUGACUGAUGGUGACCUAGGAUUCUAUUUUGUAAUAUCUAGUGUUUUAAACAUUUGAUAUUUGACAAACUUUCCAAAAUCAAAUUAUGCAUUAUGUCUCUUUAUAAACUAAUCUUGUAGGUAUUAGGUCCCCUGAAGUUCAAAAAUGGCAUGUUUGGCUUAUUUUGUAUAAAAAUAAUACAGGAAGCAUUGUCAAAUAUGAAAUGGUGUUUUGGCCUUCUUUGGACUGUAUUUGUAUAAAUAUGUUGUUAAUAAGUGUUCCAAAAUUAUGAGAAACUCCUAUAAUUCUAUGACUUAGUAUAUGUUAUCAGUAAUAAUUUUAACUUUUAUGUUAAAUUAUUGUGUACCACUGAGAUAACAAAUUUACUUGGCAAUUGUAUCUUUAUCUGUGGCUGCUCUAAUAUUUUUGUAAUCCAUGGACAAUUGUCUUCUUUUGAUCCUCUUUAAAUGAUAGUUCUGUAAUUAGCUAUCAAACUCCAAUAGGUGCUGUUAAAUGAAUGUUUCUGAUUAAUAACUCUGGAGAGUGUGACAUUAGAAUAGAGGAAAAACUUUCGAAUAGAAGACUGAAGUAAUUUUUUUGACUUUUUGCUUAAAACGAUGCUGAUCCUUUUUUGUUUUCCAAAGCUAAGAAAACUUUUCUUUUGAGCUAUUUACCACUUUUAACAAAUGAGUAAAAUAUACUCAUCUGAACAAAAUUUGGAGCAUAUUUGUUUCCCUCUACCUGAUUUUUUCAGAAUUUUAAAACUAUUUUUGAGUAUUCUCAACUUAUGGCAGUAUAAUUAUUUGCAUAAGGGCAAUAAGAAUCUGUUUUCUUUUGUAACAGGACACAGUUGGAGAAACUGGUUGUUUUACCAAGGCUUUGACUGGAAUGUCAUGCUUUCUUUAAAUAAUCAAAGUUGACUUAUUGAGCCAACAAAAGCCCCUAGGGAAAUCUGCCUUCAUACCUUGUCUACACCGUCCCUAUUCAAGGUUCCUGACCUGUUGUAAGUAAAGAAUGUAACUUUCUAACAGGCUCAAGAGCCCCAAGUUAUCUUGGGACCUCAAGAGGAAUUUAUCCAACUCCUAGGUAUUUGAGGGUACAAACCUAUGGCUGGGCUCAGCUCUAAAAUGUCUUACCUGAGAUUCCUUAUGGAACAGAGUUCCAUCAAAGCCAAUUUUAAAAGCUGAUUUGAAAAAUAAUUAUUCUUUAUGCAAAUAAUCAGGCCAAGUACAAUAAGACUAAAGUUUAUUUUGUAAAUAAAUCAAUUCUAUUAUAAGUUGUUUUUAAUAAAAAUGGGGAUUGGAGAAAGAAAAUGUAAGCUUCAAAAGAAAAGCUCUAGUACAUAGGUUAUUAGCUGUUCUUGAGUUUUAUUUUUUUCCUGCAGUUCGGAGUCAAUCCUAAAUUAUUUGCCAGCUACAAGUCCCCAAACUAAUGUUUUCAAAUCUUUACUUUUAAACUAGGAAUUGCACACCUUACUCUAGUAGUCAUUAUUUACCUUAUAGUAUGCUCUUCCCUUAAAUGCAGUACUAAAACUAUAGAUGACAAUACUAAAGCCUUUGCCAUGCAAGCCUUGGAACCCCAGCCAGGACUGCAUGAGUAUAUGCAGACAGUUGCAAAGUGGUCCAUGCCUCUCACCUUGGGAUCAACAGCUAACCCCACUAUGCCCCUUGUCAGCAGGAAGAAGCCAGAGCAAUUCAUAGCCCAUAUUCACAGCCUACACCUUAAGAUUAAGGUGUUUUAAAACCCAAAAGGAGAGGUUGGAACCAACUUUGCAAAAUUAUCACUGAGACAGUGAAAGAGAUCUAACCUAACCAACUCCAUCUUGGUUCUAACCUUUAAUUGUCUUUGUUCCUUUCUGGGCACAGGCUGAAUUAACUUUGGGAGAAACUUAGUUUAAACUUUGUUUAAAACUAAUAAUAUAACAACUCUUUCCCAAAACAAACCUCUUUCUUGUCUAGGGUCUAAACUGCCUUUAUAGGACUAACAAAUUAGCCACAAGAUUAGAAAUUAUGGUUUGGGAACCAUGAAGCUGGAAACUACAAGAUUCUGACCCUCCCUAAACUGCUUCUUAGAUCAGUGCUUGAGAUAUUUUGCAGACCCUGCACUUGACAGAUCAGCUGGCACCACUCAGAUUGAUAAAUAGGCUUAUCUGAUUUUGUGGCUCCCACCCAGGAAAGGAAUCAGCACAAGAGGACAGCUUCAACUUCCCAUCAUUUCAUCUCCUACCUAAUCAAUCAGCACUCCUGGCUCACUGGCUUCCCCCUACCCACCAAGUUUUCCUUAAAAACUCUGAUCCCCUAAGGCCUGGGGAGACUGAUUUGAGUAAUAAUAAAACUCUGGUCUCCUGUACAGCCCACUGUGCAUGAAUUACUCUUUCUCUAUUGCAAUUCCCCUGUCUUGAUAAAUUGGCUCUGUCUAGGCAGUGGCAAGCUGAAUCUGCUGAAUGGUUACACAACCUUGUCUAUGGUGGAUAUUGAGUUUAACAGUUAUAACUUUGCCACUGUGUGAAAACAGAAUAUUUUAGAAACAAACAGAUUUGAGUUAUAUCCCCAGUUUUGUCUGUCAUCUAUUAGUUUUGAUAUAUUAAACAUGUUAUUUAAUUAUUUGGGCCUUUGUUUUCUCAUCUCAAGUCUGGAAUUAGUAAAACCACAUAACUCAUGAUAGUAUUCUAGAUAUUAAAUCACCUUAGGUAGUAUUUAUUUAGCAAAGUGCUAUCAUUUUUUAAAACAAAAUGUGUUAUCCCAUUUAACUUUCAUAACAAUCCUAUGACAUAUGUAUUGGCUCAUUGUUCAGGUUAAUCCAUUGAGUUUCAAAGGGCCUAAGCCAUUCCCAAGGCUAGCGUGUCAGUGAAUGGAGAAGCAUAUAUCUGGAAGGUGGCACACUCUUCCUCAGGUUUGCCCAGUUGGAGGUUAGCAAUGGUUGCCAUUCUUACAUAAAAAUAUCCAUUGUAAAAUUCAUAAUAAUAAAAGUAGUUUCAUGUAGACACUGUGUAGGGAGGUUCUAAUGAAAGAGAGAGAACCUACUUUAACAUAGCAGGGAAUAAUUAGCCACAAAGUAAAUAGCAUCUAAUUCCUCUUCUGUUUCCCACUUUAAUGUUUUAUUUUUGAAGGAAAGCUUUAAAACUACUGAUCAACAGAUAAAUUGACUUUAUCAAAAUUAUAAACUUUGAAACAUCGAAGGAUAGUCAACGGAGUAAAAGGCAAUCCACUGAAUGGGAGAAUACAUUUGCAAAUCAUAUAUCUGAUAAAGUUGAUAAAGCAUUGAUAUCAAAAAUAUAUAAAGAACUCUUAAAACUCAACAGCAACAAAACCAAACAAUCCAAUUAAAAGUGAAAAAUUCGAGUAGAUAUUUCUCAAAGAAAAUAUGCAAAUAGCCAAAGGCACAUAAAAAGAUGUUCAACAUCACUAAACAUUAGGGAAAUGCAAAUCAUACACACACCCAAAUGAGAUACACUUCACAUCUAUUAGGGUGGCUGUUAAAAAAGAAAGGAAAAACCAACCAACAUAAACAAAAUAAUGAGUGGGUUAGAAUGUAGAGAAAUGAACUGGGAUCUUUGUGCACUGCCAGCGGGAAUGUAAAAUGAUAUAUCCACGGUAGUUCCUCAAAUUUUUUUAAUUACCAUAUAAUCUGACAAUUCUACCUCUGGAUAUAUACCCAAAAAAUUUAAAUCAGGGAGCAAAAACUUGAACAGAUAUUUGUGCACAAAUGUUCAUACCAGUAUUAUUCACAACAGUCAAAAAGUGAAAGCAAUCCAAAUGUCCAAUGGACAGACAAAUGAAUAAACAAAAUGUGGUGCAAACAUACAAUGAAAUACUAAUCAGCCUUAAAAAGAAGGAAAUUCUGAUACAUAAUAUAGCAUGGGUAGACUUUGAUAACACCAUGCUAGGUGAAAUAACCCAGAGACAAAUAACAAAUAUUAUAUGAUUUCAGUUAUAUGCAGUAGUAGACUAGCCAAAUUUAUAAAGACAGAAACUAAAAUAGUGGUUCCUGGGGCUGCAGGAAGGAGAUGUAUUGUGUAAUGGGUAUACAGUUUCAGUUUGGGAUGAUAAAAACAGUCUAGAGAUAGAUAGUGAUGAUUAUUGCAUAACAAUGUGAAUGUACUUAACGCCACUAAACUGUAAAUUUAAAUGGGUUAAAAUGGUAAAUUUGAUGUUAUAU